rnacentral:rRNA from 1 species
UGCAAGUCGAGCGGAUGAAGGGAGCUUGCUCCUGGAUUCAGCGGCGGACGGGUGAGUAAUGCCUAGGAAUCUGCCUGGUAGUGGGGGAUAACGUCCGGAAACGGGCGCUAAUACCGCAUACGUCCUGAGGGAGAAAGUGGGGGAUCUUCGGACCUCACGCUAUCAGAUGAGCCUAGGUCGGAUUAGCUAGUUGGUGGGGUAAAGGCCUACCAAGGCGACGAUCCGUAACUGGUCUGAGAGGAUGAUCAGUCACACUGGAACUGAGACACGGUCCAGACUCCUACGGGAGGCAGCAGUGGGGAAUAUUGGACAAUGGGCGAAAGCCUGAUCCAGCCAUGCCGCGUGUGUGAAGAAGGUCUUCGGAUUGUAAAGCACUUUAAGUUGGGAGGAAGGGCAGUAAGUUAAUACCUUGCUGUUUUGACGUUACCAACAGAAUAAGCACCGGCUAACUUCGUGCCAGCAGCCGCGGUAAUACGAAGGGUGCAAGCGUUAAUCGGAAUUACUGGGCGUAAAGCGCGCGUAGGUGGUUCAGCAAGUUGGAUGUGAAAUCCCCGGGCUCAACCUGGGAACUGCAUCCAAAACUACUGAGCUAGAGUACGGUAGAGGGUGGUGGAAUUUCCUGUGUAGCGGUGAAAUGCGUAGAUAUAGGAAGGAACACCAGUGGCGAAGGCGACCACCUGGACUGAUACUGACACUGAGGUGCGAAAGCGUGGGGAGCAAACAGGAUUAGAUACCCUGGUAGUCCACGCCGUAAACGAUGUCGACUAGCCGUUGGGAUCCUUGAGAUCUUAGUGGCGCAGCUAACGCGAUAAGUCGACCGCCUGGGGGAGUACGGCCGCAAGGUUAAAACUCAAAUGAAUUGACGGGGGCCCGCACAAGCGGUGGGAGCAUGUGGUUUAAUUCGAAGCAACGCGAAGACCUUACCUGGCCUUG